rnacentral:rRNA from 1 species
AUUGAACGCUGGCGGCAGGCUUAACACAUGCAAGUCGAGCGGGGUGAUGGUGCUUGCACUAUCACUUAGCGGCGGACGGGUGAGUAAUGCUUAGGAAUCUGCCUAUUAGUGGGGGACAACAUCUCGAAAGGGAUGCUAAUACCGCAUACGUCCUACGGGAGAAAGCAGGGGAUCACUUGUGACCUUGCGCUAAUAGAUGAGCCUAAGUCGGAUUAGCUAGCUGGUGGGGUAAAGGCCUACCAAGGCGACGAUCUGUAGCGGGUCUGAGAGGAUGGUCCGCCAGACUGGGACUAAGACCCGGCCCAGACUCCUACGGGAGGCAGCAGUGGGGAAUAUUGGACAAUGGGGGGAACCCUGAUCCAGCCAUGCCGCGUGUGUGAAGAAGGCCUUAUGGUUGUAAAGCACUUUAAGCGAGGAGGAGGCUCUUUUGGUUAAUACCCAAGAUGAGUGGACGUUACUCGCAGAAUAAGCACCAGCUAACUCUGUGCCAGCCGCCGCGGUAA